rnacentral:rRNA from 1 species
UACGGGGGGGGCUAGCGUUGUUCGGAAUUCCUGGGCGUAAAGGGCGCGCAGGCGGCGCAUUUUGUCAGGCGUGAAAGCCCCGGGCUUAACCUGGGAACUGCGUUUGAUACGGAUGGGCUAGAGUUCGGGAGAGGAGAGUGGAAUUCCCAGUGUAGAGGUGAAAUUCGUAGAUAUUGGGAAGAACACCGGUGGCGAAGGCGGCUCUCUGGACCGAGACUGACGCUGAGGCGCGAAAGCGUGGGGAGCAAACAGG